rnacentral:lncRNA from 1 species
GCCAUUGGAAUUAAUUUAAACACUAUUUUACAGUCUGCUCCUCUGUUCAGUACUCUCCUCCUCCUCCUCUGUUCAGUAUUCUUCUCCUCCUCCUCUGUUCAGUAUUCUUCUUCUCCUCCUCUGUUCAGUAUUCUUCUCCUCCUCCUCCUCUGUUCAGUAUUCUUCUUCUCCUCCUCUGUUCAGUAUUCUUCUUCUCCUCCUCUGUUCAUUAUUCUUCUCCUCCUCCUCUGUUCAGUACUCUCCUCCUCCUCCUCUGUUCAGUAUUCUUCUUCUCCUCCUCCUCUGUUCAGUAUUCUUCUUCUCCUCCUCUGUUCAGUAUUCUUCUCCUCCUCCUCCUCUGUUCAGUAUUCUUCUUCUCCUCCUCUGUUCAGUAUUCUUCUCCUCCUCCUCCUCUGUUCAGUAUUCUUCUUCUCCUCCUCUGUUCAGUAUUCUUCUUCUCCUCCUCUGUUCAGUAUUCUUCUCCUCCUCCUCUGUUCAGUAUUCUUCUCCUCCUCCUCCUCUGUUCAGUAUUCUUCUCCUCCUCCUCUGUUCAGUAUUCUUCUCCUCCUCCUCCUCUGUUCAGUAUUCUUCUUCUCCUCCUCUGUUCAGUAUUCUUCUCCUCCUCCUCUGUUCAGUAUUCUUCUCCUCCUCCUCUGUUCAGUAUUCUUCUUCUUCUCCUCCUCCUCUGUUCAGUAUUCUUCUCCUCCUCCUCUGUUCAGUAUUCUUCUCCUCCUCCUCCUCUGUUCAGUAUUCUUCUUCUCCUCCUCUGUUCAGUAUUCUUCUCCUCCUCCUCUGUUCAGUAUUCUUCUUCUUCUCCUCCUCCUCUGUUCAGUAUUCUUCUUCUUCUCCUCCUCCUCUGUUCAUUAUUCUUCUCCUCCUCCUCUGUUCAGUAUUCUUCUCCUCCUCCUCUGUUCAGUAUUCUUCUUCUUCUCCUCCUCUGUUCAUUAUUCUUCUUCUCCUCCUCUGUUCAGUAUUCUUCUUCUCCUCCUCUGUUCAUUAUUCUUCUCCUCCUCCUCUGUUCAGUAUUCUUCUUCUCCUCCUCUGUUCAUUAUUCUUCUCCUCCUCCUCUGUUCAGUAUUCUUCUUCUCCUCCUCCUCCUCUGUUCAGUAUUCUUCUCCUCCUCCUCUGUUCAGUAUUCUUCUCCUCCUCCUCGGUUCAGUAUUCUUCUCCUCCUCCUCUGUUCAGUAUUCUUCUUCUUCUUCUCCUCCUCUGUUCAGUAUUCUUCUUCUUCUCCUCCUCCUCUUUUCAGUAUUCUUCUCCUCCUCCUCUGUUCAGUAUUCUUCUCCUCCUCUGUUCAGUAUUCUUUUCCUCCUCCUCUGUUCAGUAUUCUUCUUCUUCUCCUCUGUUCAGUAUUCUUCUUCUUCUUCUCCUCCUCUGUUCAGUAUUCUUCUUCUCCUCCUCCUCUGUUCAGUAUUCUUCUUCUUCUCCUCCUCUGUUCAGUAUUCUUCUUCUCCUCCUCCUCCUCUGUUCAGUAUUCUUCUUCUCCUCCUCUGUUCAGCAUUCUUCUUCUUCUUCUCCUCCUCUGUUCAGUAUUCUUCUUCUCCUCCUCUGUUCAGUAUUCUUCUUCUCCUCCUCUGUUCAGUAUUCUUCUUCUCCUCCUCUGUUCAGUAUUCUUCUUCUUCUUCUCCUCCUCUGUUCAGUAUUCUUCUUCUUCUCCUCCUCUGUUCAGUAUUCUUCUUCUCCUCCUCCUCCUCUGUUCAGUAUUCUUCUUCUCCUCCUCUGUUCAGUAUUCUUCUUCUUCUUCUCCUCCUCUGUUCAGUAUUCUUCUUCUCCUCCUCCUCUGUUCAGUAUUCUUCUUCUUCUCCUCCUCUGUUCAGUAUUCUUCUUCUCCUCCUCCUCCUCUGUUCAGUAUUCUUCUUCUCCUCCUCCUCUGUUCAGUAUUCUUCUUCUCCUCCUCCUCCUCUGUUCAGUAUUCUUCUUCUCCUUCUCCUCCUCUGUUCAGUAUUCUUCUUCUUCUUCUCCUCCUCUGUUCAGUAUUCUUCUUCUCCUCCUCCUCUGUUCAGUAUUCUUCUUCUCCUCCUCCUCUGUUCAGUAUUCUUCUUCUCCUCCUCUGUUCAGUAUUCUUCUUCUUCUCCUCCUCCUCUGUUCAGUAUUCUUCUUCUUCUCCUCCUCCUCCUCUGUUCAGUAUUCUUCUUCUCCUCCUCCUCCUCUGUUCAGUAUUCUUCUUCUUCUCCUCCUCCUCUGUUCAGUAUUCUUCUUCUUCUUCUCCUCUGUUCAGUAUUCUUCUUCUCCUCCUCUGUUCAGUAUUCUUCUUCUCCUCCUCCUCCUCUGUUCAGUAUUCUUCUUCUUCUUCUCCUCCUCUGUUCAGUAUUCUUCUUCUUCUCCUCCUCCUCUGUUCAGUAUUCUUCUUCUUCUCCUCCUCCUCCUCUGUUCAGUAUUCUUCUUCUCCUCCUCCUCCGUUCAGUAUUCUUCUUCUUCUCCUCCUCCUCUGUUCAGUAUUCUUCUUCUUCUUCUCCUCUGUUCAGUAUUCUUCUUCUCCUCCUCUGUUCAGUAUUCUUCUUCUCCUCCUCCUCCUCUGUUCAGUAUUCUUCUUCUUCUCCUCCUCCUCUGUUCAGUAUUCUUCUUCUUCUCCUCCUCCUCCUCUGUUCAGUAUUCUUCUUCUCCUCCUCCUCCGUUCAGUAUUCUUCUUCUUCUCCUCCUCCUCUGUUCAGUAUUCUUCUUCUUCUUCUCCUCUGUUCAGUAUUCUUCUUCUCCUCCUCUGUUCAGUAUUCUUCUUCUUCUUCUCCUCCUCUGUUCAGUAUUCUUCUUCUUCUCCUCCUCCUCUUUUCAGUAUUCUUCUCCUCCUCCUCUGUUCAGUAUUCUUCUCCUCCUCUGUUCAGUAUUCUUUUCCUCCUCCUCUGUUCAGUAUUCUUCUUCUUCUCCUCCUCCUCUGUUCAGUAUUCUUCUUCUCCUCCUCUGUUCAGUAUUCUUCUUCUUCUUCUCCUCCUCUGUUCAGUAUUCUUCUUCUCCUCCUCCUCUGUUCAGUAUUCUUCUUCUUCUCCUCCUCUGUUCAGUAUUCUUCUUCUCCUCCUCCUCCUCUGUUCAGUAUUCUUCUUCUCCUCCUCUGUUCAGCAUUCUUCUUCUUCUUCUCCUCCUCUGUUCAGUAUUCUUCUUCUCCUCCUCUGUUCAGUAUUCUUCUUCUCCUCCUCUGUUCAGUAUUCUUCUUCUCCUCCUCUGUUCAGUAUUCUUCUUCUUCUUCUCCUCCUCUGUUCAGUAUUCUUCUUCUUCUCCUCCUCUGUUCAGUAUUCUUCUUCUCCUCCUCCUCCUCUGUUCAGUAUUCUUCUUCUCCUCCUCUGUUCAGUAUUCUUCUUCUUCUUCUCCUCCUCUGUUCAGUAUUCUUCUUCUCCUCCUCCUCUGUUCAGUAUUCUUCUUCUUCUCCUCCUCUGUUCAGUAUUCUUCUUCUCCUCCUCCUCCUCUGUUCAGUAUUCUUCUUCUCCUCCUCCUCUGUUCAGUAUUCUUCUUCUCCUCCUCCUCCUCUGUUCAGUAUUCUUCUUCUCCUUCUCCUCCUCUGUUCAGUAUUCUUCUUCUUCUUCUCCUCCUCUGUUCAGUAUUCUUCUUCUCCUCCUCCUCUGUUCAGUAUUCUUCUUCUCCUCCUCCUCUGUUCAGUAUUCUUCUUCUCCUCCUCUGUUCAGUAUUCUUCUUCUUCUCCUCCUCCUCUGUUCAGUAUUCUUCUUCUUCUCCUCCUCCUCCUCUGUUCAGUAUUCUUCUUCUCCUCCUCCUCCUCUGUUCAGUAUUCUUCUUCUUCUCCUCCUCCUCUGUUCAGUAUUCUUCUUCUUCUUCUCCUCUGUUCAGUAUUCUUCUUCUCCUCCUCUGUUCAGUAUUCUUCUUCUCCUCCUCCUCCUCUGUUCAGUAUUCUUCUUCUUCUUCUCCUCCUCUGUUCAGUAUUCUUCUUCUUCUCCUCCUCCUCUGUUCAGUAUUCUUCUUCUUCUCCUCCUCCUCCUCUGUUCAGUAUUCUUCUUCUCCUCCUCCUCCGUUCAGUAUUCUUCUUCUUCUCCUCCUCCUCUGUUCAGUAUUCUUCUUCUUCUUCUCCUCUGUUCAGUAUUCUUCUUCUCCUCCUCUGUUCAGUAUUCUUCUUCUCCUCCUCCUCCUCUGUUCAGUAUUCUUCUUCUUCUCCUCCUCCUCUGUUCAGUAUUCUUCUUCUCCUCCUCCUCCUCUGUUCAGUAUUCUUCUUCUUCUCCUCCUCCUCUGUUCAAUAUUCUUCUUCUUCUCCUCCUCCUCUGUUCAGUAUUCUUCUUCUCCUCCUCCUCCUCUGUUCAGUAUUCUUCUUCUUCUCCUCCUCCUCUGUUCAGUAUUCUUCUUCUCCUCCUCUGUUCAGUAUUCUUCUUCUCCUCCUCUGUUCAGUAUUCUUCUUCUCCUCCUCUGUUCAGUAUUCUUCUUCUCCUCCUCUGUUCAGUAUUCUUCUUCUCCUCCUCUGUUCAGUAUUCUUCUUCUCCUCCUCUGUUCAGUAUUCUUCUUCUCCUCCUCCUCCUCUGUUCAGUAUUCUUCUUCUCCUCCUCCUCUGUUCAGUAUUCUUCUUCUUCUUCUUCUCCUCCUCUGUUCAGUAUUCUUCUUCUUCUCCUCCUCCUCUGUUCAGUAUUCUUCUCCUCCUCCUCUGUUCAGUAUUCUUCUUCUUCUUCUUCUCCUCCUCUGUUCAGUACUCUCCUUCUCCUCCUCUGUUCAUUCUUCUUCUUCUCCUCCUCCUCCUCCUCAUCAUCUGUUCAGUAUUCUUCUUCUCCUCCUCUGUUCAGUAUUCUUCUUGUCCUCCUCCUCCUCUGUUCAGUAUUCUUCUCCUCCUCCUCUGUUCAGUAUUCUUCUUCUUCUCCUCCUCCUCUGUUCAGUAUUCUUCUUCUUCUCCUCCUCCUCUGUUCAGUAUUCUUCUCCUCCUCCUCUGUUCAGUAUUCUUCUUCUUAUUCUCCUCUGUUCAGUAUUCUUCUUCUCCUCCUCCUCCUCUGUUCAGUAUUCUUCUUCUUCUCCUCCUCCUCCUCUGUUCAGUAUUCUUCUUCUUCUCCUCCUCCUCCUCUGUUCAGUAUUCUUCUUCUCCUCCUCCUCCUCUGUUCAGUAUUCUUCUUCUUCUCCUCCUCUGUUCAGUAUUCUUCUUCUUCUCCUCCUCCUCUGUUCAGUAUUCUUCUUCUUCUCCUCCUCCUCUGUUCAGUAUUCUUCUCCUCCUCCUCUGUUCAGUAUUCUUCUUCUUAUUCUCCUCCUCUGUUCAGUAUUCUUCUUCUCCUCCUCCUCCUCUGUUCAGUAUUCUUCUUCUUCUCCUCCUCCUCUGUUCAGUAUUCUUCUUCUUCUCCUCCUCCUCUGUUCAUUAUUCUUCUUCUCCUCCUCCUCCUCUGUUCAGUAUUCUUCUCCUCCUCCUCCUCUGUUCAGUAUUCUUCUUCUUCUCCUCCUCCUCUGUUCAGUAUUCUUCUCCUCCUCCUCCUCUGUUCAGUAUUCUUCUCCUCCUCCUCCUCUGUUCAGUAUUCUUCUUCUUCUCCUCCUCUGUUCAGUAUUCUUCUUCUUCUUCUCCUCCUCUGUUCAGUAUUCUUCUUCUCCUCCUCCUCUGUUCAUUAUUCUUCUUCUCCUCCUCCUCCUCUGUUCAGUAUUCUUCUCCUCCUCCUCCUCUGUUCAGUAUUCUUCUUCUUCUCCUCCUCCUCUGUUCAGUAUUCUUCUCCUCCUCCUCCUCUGUUCAGUAUUCUUCUCCUCCUCCUCCUCUGUUCAGUAUUCUUCUUCUCCUCCUCUGUUCAGUAUUCUUCUUCUUCUUAUUCUCCUCUGUUCAGUAUUCUUCUUCUCCUCCUCCUCCUCUGUUCAGUAUUCUUCUUCUUCUCCUCCUCCUCUGUUCAGUAUUCUUCUUCUUCUCCUCCUCCUCUGUUCAGUAUUCUUCUCCUCCUCCUCUGUUCAGUAUUCUUCUUCUCCUCCUCCUCCUCUGUUCAGUAUUCUUCUUCUUCUCCUCCUCCUCUGUUCAGUAUUCUUCUUCUUCUCCUCCUCUGUUCAGUAUUCUUCUUCUUCUUCUCCUCCUCUGUUCAGUAUUCUUCUUCUCCUCCUCCUCUGUUCAGUAUUCUUCUCCUCCUCCUCCGUUCAGUAUUAUUCUUCUUCUCCUCCUCUGUUCAGUAUUCUUCUUCUCCUCCUCUGUUCAGUAUUCUUCUUCUCCUCCUCCUCCUCUGUUCAGUAUUCUUCUUCUUCUCCUCCUCUGUUCAGUAUUCUUCUUCUCCUCCUCCUCCUCUGUUCAGUAUUAUUCUUCUUCUCCUCCUCUGUUCAGUAUUCUUCUUCUCCUCCUCUGUUCAGUAUUCUUCUUCUCCUCCUCUGUUCAGUAUUCUUCUCCUCCUCCUCCUCUGUUCAGUAUUCUUCUUCUCCUCCUCCUCUGUUCAGUAUUCUUCUCCUCCUCCUCUGUUCAGUAUUCUUCUUCUCCUCCUCCUCCUCUGUUCAGUAUUCUUCUCCUCCUCCUCUGUUCAGUAUUCUUCUUCUCCUCCUCCUCUGUUCAGUAUUCUUCUUCUCCUCCUCCUCUGUUCAGUAUUCUUCUUCUCCUCCUCCUCUGUUCAGUAUUCUUCUUCUUAUUCUCCUCCUCUGUUCAGUAUUCUUCUUCUCCUCCUCCUCCUCUGUUCAGUAUUCUUCUUCUCCUCCUCCUAUGUUCAGUAUUCUUCGUCCAGAGAGGUCUUCUUCACAUGGGGGACUGUGAAGGUUGGAGCCAGGGGUAGAGAAUGA